rnacentral:lncRNA from 1 species
GCCAGUUUUGUAUGCUAUUACUCACUGAUUUUGUGUCUUGCUGCGAUCCGAAUGUUUCGGGAACCCCGGGGUCUGGUUACAAGGAACUCGUCAAAACUCGCAGUUUUGGCCAAUUCCGCCCAGUAUUGUAUGCUAUUACUCACUGAUUUUGGGUCCUACUGCGAUCCGAAUGUUUCGGGAAAACCGCGGUCCGGUUAGGGGGAACUCGUCAAAACUCGUAGUUUUGGCCCAUUCCGGACAUUUUUGUAUGCUAUUACUCACAGAUUUUGUGUCCUCCUGCGAUCCGAAAGUUUCGGGAAGCCGAGGUCCGGUUACGGGGAACUCGUCGAAACUCGUAGUUUUGGCCUAUUCCGCCCAGUAUUGUAUGCUAUUAGUCACUGAUUUUGGGUCCUGCUGCGAUCCGAACGUUUCGGGAACCCCCGGGUCCGGUUACGGGGAACUCGUCAAAAUUCACAGUUUUGGCCUAUUCCGCCCUGUUUUGUAUGCUAUUAGUUAGUGAUUUUGUGUCCUGCUGGGAUCCGAAUGUUUCUGGAACAUUGGGGAUUGCUUACGGAGAACUUGUCAAAACUCGCAGUUUCGGCCUAUUCCGCCUAGUUUUGUAUGCUAUUUCUCACUCAUUUUGUGUCAUGCUACGAUCGGAACGUUUCN